rnacentral:rRNA from 1 species
CCUACGGGGGGCAGCAGUGGGGAAUAUUGGACAAUGGGGGGAACCCUGAUCCAGCCAUGCCGCGUGUGUGAAGAAGGCCCUCGGGUUGUAAAGCACUUUCAGUGAGGAAGAACGCCUGGUGGUUAAUACCCAUCAGGAAAGACAUCACUCACAGAAGAAGCUCCGGCUAACUCCGUGCCAGCAGCCGCGGUAAUACGGAGGGUGCGAGCGUUAAUCGGAAUUACUGGGCGUAAAGCGCGCGUAGGUGGCUUGAUAAGCCGGUUGUGAAAGCCCCGGGCUCAACCUGGGAACGGCAUCCGGAACUGUCAAGCUAGAGUGCAGGAGAGGAAGGUAGAAUUCCCGGUGUAGCGGUGAAAUGCGUAGAGAUCGGGAGGAAUACCAGUGGCGAAGGCGGCCUUCUGGACUGACACUGACACUGAGGUGCGAAAGCGUGGGUAGCAAACAGGAUUAGAUACCCUAGUAGUC